rnacentral:lncRNA from 1 species
CUGAAUUUGCUUUUUCUGCUUCUACCUCUUCCAGGCACAACGCCUGACUCUUCUUGAGUAUGUGCUCCAUGUUGUGUUCCAGUCUUCUCAAUUGGAUCACUCAUUGAUGUACAUUUAGAAUAUUUCUAAAAAGGGGAUACUGCUCAGAUUCUUUUGGUUUCUGUCUUUCUUCUAUCACCAUUUCUGAGACAUCUUCUCUGGCUUUCAAAAUCAGAAAGUAUAUUUUCCCCUAUGAUCCUCCAGUGCCCUAAAUCUGAAAAAUUCCCUGUCUGGUUCAUGUCGCAUGUAUACUAUGUUAUUUAAACCACAGAGUAUCCCCAUUUUAUAAAUGAAAAACUGAGACCAAGAAAAGUUCAGAAUCUUGCCUGUGAUAGCACAAUCAAAGCUUUAUCUGGGAAUCAAACCCUUCUCUGACUCCAUAAACUGUGAGGGUCAAUAUGUCCACAUAUGUAAGGAAAACAAAUCCCAAACCAUCACUACAGGUAUUGCCAAAGCGUCAUCAGGGUUUAGUUCUUGCUGCUAUGCUGCCCCAGGGUGCUAAAAUGUGAAUGAUGUAUAAUAUCCCUAUGGAUGCGAUCAGUCUAAUCAAAGCGGCCCUGGAGCCUAGGUUUCACUUCUUUGAGUUUAGCGAGUCCAGCUCUUACUGCCAAGCACAACUUCCUCAGCACACAGCAAAGAUUUGAGAUACACUGCUUCUAUGUUUAGCUUCCCAUUUCCCUGCAUCUCCUGAAUCUCAGAAGAAGCCAAGUGCUGUUGUUCCUAUUAGCCUAAUUGCUGUAUCCUUUCUGCAGACACUGACCCCUCCUUCUGGGUGACUUAGGCUACCCUGUUGCUACAUACUGUUUUCUGUGAAGCCAUGGACUGCAUCUUAGUUGAUUCUCACCUAGUCAACUCUGCACCAGAAGAACAGGAGUAGCCACAUCCAUUCAGCUGCUUAAAAAGGGAGGAAAUUUUAAUUAUUUUCGUUGAUCUGUGCCCUACUUUGUCUUCUUCAAUCAUAUUUUUACUCUUAAUCAGAAAUAUAUUUUCCUUUCCUAAUGAAUAUUCCAAUGAGCUCUGGAGAUCUGGUGUUCCAUGUAUGGUGCAUUCCUGAGCUCCUGUCAUAUUAAAUUUGCAUACCCAUUCAUACCUAUGUAGCAUUACUUGCUUAACUGAGGAAGGAGUAGGUAAGGAGUGAGCAUAAUAUGCCACUGAUGUUUCAUUGUUUGUAUUUUUUUUUUUCUAAUGAGGCUUGUAAACUAUUUUAUUCAUUUAGAAAAAAAGAAGAAAAACUGGCCUAAGAAACUUAGUGUUGAAAAAAAGGAAAAGAGAGCACAUAGAGUACACAGCAAUAGUGCAAAUCAAAAAGUGCGUACACAUUUUAUGAGAAAAACAAAAGAAUAGAAAGAACAGACUGGUGGUUACCAGAGGGAGGGGGAGGAGGAUGGGAAAAUGGGUGAAGGCUAUCAAAAGACACAAACUUCCAGUUAGAAGGUUAAUAAGUUCUAGGAAUAUAAUGUACAGCAUGGUGACUAGAGUUAAGAAUACUAUACUGUAUAUUCGAAAGUACCUAAGAGAGCAGAUUUUAAAAGUUCUCACCACACACAAAAAAAAUGUAUAACUAUGUGAGGAGAUGGAUACGUUAACUUAUUGUGGCAAUAAUUUGGCAAUAUAUACAUAUAUAAAAUCACUAUGUAUAUACCUUAAACCUAUGUCAAUUAUAUCUCAAUAAAGCCGGAAAAAAUAAAAUUUUAAAAACCAUA